rnacentral:lncRNA from 1 species
GUUCCAAUUCCAGGCCAUCACCACGAAGAACAGCCAUAGGACAUACAUCAGGUCUGUGGGGAAGGUUGACGGGGACGCUAGAGCAUCAGCCAGGCAAGGCUCUUCACCAGUUGGAUCAGGACACAGAAACUGCAGUCGACUACUCUUUUUGAGCUCAACUGAGGAAGACGGGCUGGAGAAAAUGAGGCUCUUUUUUUUUUUUUUUUUUUU